GUGCCCACUUCGGCAGCACAUAUACUACACUUGGAACGGUACAGAGAUUAGCGUGGCCCCUGCGCUAGAAUGGAGCACAAGUUCAUGACGCGUUCCAUAUUUUU
rfam:Tupaia chinensis contig104568, whole genome shotgun sequence.